UCUUAUUAGUCACCAGUGCCGUCGUUAUUUCCUUAAUUUGUUGUUGUUUUUAAUUUACUUUUCCAAUCUGUAUUAUCAAACAGUUCUUUACAAAUCUACGCUGUAAAUUCAAGAAUUUGUUUAAGUUACAAAUCCCCUUUACACAUUUUAUUUCGAAAACUCAUUUUCGAAGUGCUAUACCUACGUAACGACGAUGGAAGGUGAUCAUAUUUGUUCCAGUCCUGUCGAGAGCAAAUUAUGGAAGAGUAUCCUGAUGUUAAAACAUACCUACAGGUCGUCCAUUACUAAGAAACGAUGAAGUGGUCGAAGACAACGAAUGGAAGCGAGUCCCAGAAAAUCAAAAUCCGUCAGUUUAGCGCCCAAGCUGGAGUAUGUUAUGCAACAUGCCAACGAAUUUUGCAUAAAGAUCUACGUAUACAUACACUCGUACCGGGUUUCUGUUCUACAGCAACUGCACCCUCUUGAUUAUGAGAAUCGACGUCAUUAUUGUGAUUAACGAAUAACGAAUA